AGUGAACGCUGGCGGUAGGCCUAACACAUGCAAGUCGAACGGCAGCACAGUAAGAGCUUGCUCUUACGGGUGGCGAGUGGCGGACGGGUGAGGAAUGCAUCGGAAUCUACUUUUUCGUGGGGGAUAACGUAGGGAAAUUUACGCUAAUACCGCAUACGACCUACGGGUGAAAGCAGGGGAUCUUCGGACCUUGCGCGAUUGAAUGAGCCGAUGUCGGAUUAGCUAGUUGGCGGGGUAAAGGCCCACCAAGGCGACGAUCCGUAGCUGGUCUGAGAGGAUGAUCAGCCACACUGGAACUGAGACACGGUCCAGACUCCUACGGGAGGCAGCAGUGGGGAAUAUUGGACAAUGGGCGCAAGCCUGAUCCAGCCAUACCGCGUGGGUGAAGAAGGCCUUCGGGUUGUAAAGCCCUUUUGUUGGGAAAGAAAAGCAGCAGGUUAAUACCCCGCUGUUCUGACGGUACCCAAAGAAUAAGCACCGGCUAACUUCGUG
rnacentral:rRNA from 1 species